rnacentral:tmRNA from 1 species
AGGCAUAAUAUUUGGUGCUAAUAUAGCUAUAGUAAUAAACGUAAUUUAGAAUAGAGGUUACGGACUCGGGGGCAGUACCCGACGCCUCCACCAAAACUUUCUAAAUAACUUGCUCCUAAAGGUAAUUUGUACGUCGAUCCGGUACUCGAAUCCUCACGUACUAAGUGUAUGCUGCGGUUCUGCGUUCCGUGUCUUCUUCAAAUUCCUCUUUAUUAGCUGCGUCAUUUAGAUGUAAUAAUUCUUAAAGAGUAGACAAUACGAAGUUCAUCGAGUAUUUUAUGGGGGCGAAAUAGGAUCGACGUGCCUAAUAAAAAAAUUGCUUUUACUCGGGAUGAUUCCGCCGAUGGUUUUUGCCAUAUGGGUCAAAACAAAGAAAUGCAAACGAUAAUAAUCGUUAUGUGGGUGCUCCAGCUUUAGCUGCAGCUUAAUCCUACGCGGCUUGGGGGUUUGCCGGGCAACAGAAAAACCCUCGCGUAUACUCGUUUAAUUUGAAAAAUUGGUAUUGCCUAAAAACGGUUG